UGAUCUAUGUGCCACUAUAAGAAAAACUGUUCAGAGGCAAGACAGCUCUGGAAAGUCAGGGAGAUUCUAUCAUCCUGAUAUUGGAUUUUGAGGUGAAAUGAGUUGGUUUUUGGGGCGAGAUGUGAGUGAGUUCUUAAUGGAAGCUGUGAGGAAGUGCGGUGACGGUCCUUACCAGAAUCCAGUCGUGACUCACUCAGACAGGGGGUGACAGAAACAUGGCACCCAGGAGACUAACACACACAUCACCCUCCCUUACUGGAGCACCACUGACGCAUCGCCAUCGCUGCCUGCCCAGACCUGCUCUCUUUCAGCCUCUCUCCAUCUUCCUCUGCUGUCUUGGAGUGGAGAGCGUUCUGCCGUCUCCAUAUGCCGGUUGUAUCUCUGUUGCUUUCCUCCUUUCAUGAAUGAUUUGGCCUAGAAAUUAACAGCAAUUAAGUUUACUCUGAAGUCAUUUUCAAGAGACAAACUCAAAGGAAAGUUUUAUUGAUCAGAGACAUACUAUCAACUACAGUAUGUUUUAGAUGUUCCUCCUAAAGUAAGUAUAGAGCUAAAAAUAAUGAGGACAUAACUCAUGUUUGAUGAGCAAAUAUUUCAUAUUCAUUUUGAAAUCUGAUAACUAAUUUCAGACUUAUGUC